GUCCUAUAGAUUUUAAUUUUAGGUCUAAUCUGCUCCAGUGAUUAAUUUUAAAUAGCCGCAGUAUUUUGACUGUGCAAAGGUAGCAUAAUCAUUUGUCUUUUAAUUGGAGGCUUGUAUGAAUGAUUGGACGAAAAAUAAGCUUUCUUUAUUUAAUUUAUUUGAAUUUAAUUUUUAAGUUAAAAAGCUUAAAUUUUUUUGUAAGACGAGGAGACCCUAUAGAAUUUUAUUUGAAUUUAAAUAUGUUUUUUUAUUUUUAAUUUAAAAUAUUUAGAUUAAAAUUUGGUUGGGGCGACUAUGAAAUUUCAUUAACUUUUAUUUUUAUGUUUCAUUAAUUUAUGUUAUUUUUGAUCCUGUUAUAUGGAUUAUAAGAUUAAAUUACCUUAGGGAUAACAGCGUAAUUUCUUUGGAGAGUUCCUAUUGAUAAAGGAGUUUGCGACCUCGAUGUUGGAUUAAAAUUAGAUUUUGGUGUAGGUGCUAAUUUAUCUAGGUCUGUUCGACCUUUAAAUUUUU
rnacentral:rRNA from 1 species